AGCGAACGUUUGCGGCGGGCCUAACACAUGCAAGUCGAACGCACUAGCAAUAGUGAGUGGCGCACGGGUGCGUAACACGUGGGUAAUCAACCCUUCAGCCUGGGAUAACGACUCGAAAGGGUCGCUAAUACCGGAUACGGCGCGAGAGGCUUCGGCUUCUCACGAGAAAGCCACGCAAGGGGCACUGAAGGACGAGCCUGCGGCCCAUCAGCUAGUUGGUGAGGUAAGAGCUCACCAAAGGCUAAGACGGGUAGCUGGUCUGAGAGGAUGAUCAGCCACACUGGAACUGAGACACGGUCCAGACUCCUACGGGAGGCAGCAGUGGGGAAUAUUGCGCAAUGGGCGAAAGCCUGACGCAGCCACGCCGCGUGAGCGAU
rnacentral:rRNA from 1 species